rnacentral:rRNA from 1 species
UACGAAGGGGGCUAGCGUUGUUCGGAAUUACUGGGCGUAAAGCGCGCGUAGGCGGUUUUCCAAGUCGGGCGUGAAAGCCCCGGGCUCAACCCGGGAAAUGCGCUCGAAACUUGAAGACUGGAGGCCGGAAGAGGGUAGUGGAAUUCCCAGUGUAGAGGUGAAAUUCGUAGAUAUUGGGAAGAACACCAGUGGCGAAGGCGGCUACCUGGUCCGGAUCUGACGCUGAGGCGCGAAAGCGUGGGGAGCGAACAGG